AUGAACGCUAGCUACAGGCUUAACACAUGCAAGUCGAGGGGCAGCAUGAACUUAGCUUGCUAAGUUUGAUGGCGACCGGCGCACGGGUGAGUAACACGUAUCCAACCUGCCGAUGACUCGGGGAUAGCCUUUCGAAAGAAAGAUUAAUACCCGAUGGCAUAGUUCUUCCGCAUGGUAGAACUAUUAAAGGAUUUCGGUCAUCGAUGGGGAUGCGUUCCAUUAGGUUGUUGGCGGGGUAACGGCCCACCAAGCCUUCGAUGGAUAGGGGUUCUGAGAGGAAGGUCCCCCACAUUGGAACUGAGACACGGUCCAAACUCCUACGGGAGGCAGCAGUGAGGAAUAUUGGUCAAUGGACGAGAGUCUGAACCAGCCAAGUAGCGUGAAGGAUGACUGCCCUAUGGGUUGUAAACUUCUUUUAUACGGGAAUAAAGUGAGGCACGUGUGCCUUUUUGUAUGUACCGUAUGAAUAAGGAUCGGCUAACUCCGUGCCAGCAGCCGCGGUAAUACGGAGGAUCCGAGCGUUAUCCGGAUUUAUUGGGUUUAAAGGGAGCGUAGGCGGACGCUUAAGUCAGUUGUGAAAGUUUGCGGCUCAACCGUAAAAUUGCAGUUGAUACUGGGUGUCUUGAGUACAGUAGAGGCAGGCGGAAUUCGUGGUGUAGCGGUGAAACGCUUAGAUAUCACGAAGAACUCCGAUUGCGAAGGCAGCCUGCUGGACUGUAACUGACGCUGAUGCUCGAAAGUGUGGGUAUCAAACAGGAUUAGAUACCCUGGUAGUCCAUGCCGUAAACGAUGAUUACUAGGUGUUGGAGGAUUGACCCCUUCAGUGCCGCAGUUAACACAAUAAGUAAUCCACCUGGGGAGUACGACCGCAAGGUUGAAACUCAAAGGAAUUGACGGGGGCCCGCACAAGCAGUGGAGUAUGUGGUUUAAUUCGAAGCAACGCGAAGAACCUUACCUGCUCUUGACAUCCCGGUGACCGGCGUGUAAUGACGCCUUUUCUUCGGAACACCGGUGACAGGUGGUGCAUGGUUGUCGUCAGCUCGUGCCGUGAGGUGUCGGCUUAAGUGCCAUAACGAGCGCAACCCUUAUCGAUAGUUACCAUCAGGUGAUGCUGGGGACUCUGUCGAGACUGCCGUCGUAAGAUGUGAGGAAGGUGGGGAUGACGUCAAAUCAGCACGGCCCUUACGUCCGGGGCUACACACGUGUUACAAUGGGGGGUACAGAAGGCAGCUACACGGCGACGUGAUGCUAAUCCCGAAAGCCUCUCUCAGUUCGGAUUGGAGUCUGCAACCCGACUCCAUGAAGCUGGAUUCGCUAGUAAUCGCGCAUCAGCCACGGCGCGGUGAAUACGUUCCCGGGCCUUGUACACACCGCCCGUCACACCAUGAGAGCCGGGGGGACCCGAAGUCGGUAGUCUAACCGCAAGGAGGACGCCGCCGAAGGUAAAACUGGUGAUUGGGGUG
rnacentral:rRNA from 1 species